AACCGAAACGACGAGGGAAAACAAGAAACACAACACCAGUAACAUUUGAGACAUGAAAAGCAAAGCAAAUGGAACCACAAAGCAAAGACAAACGAGGGUGACUUAAAUAACCAGACCAAUGAGUGACAGGCGCAGUGAUAAGGGCAGACCGAAA